UACGUAGGAAGCGAGCGUUGUCCGGAAUCACUGGGCGUAAAGCGCGUGUAGGCGGUACGGCAAGUCUGCUGUGAAAGCGCCCGGCUUAACCGGGCGAGGUCGGCGGAAACUGCUGAACUGGAGGACGGUAGAGGGGGGUGGAAUUCCCGGUGUAGUGGUGAAAUGCGUAGAGAUCGGGAGGAACACCUGUGGCGAAGGCGGCCCCCUGGGCCGGGCCUGACGCUGAGACGCGAAGGCGCGGGGAGCGAAGCGGG
rnacentral:rRNA from 1 species